AAGGCUGGUUGAUAUCCAUUGGAGGUUUCCCUUUCUCUGAGGAAAAAGGAAAGGGACAUCGGGGGAGAGGAGGCAAGCAAGAGUGACUGGGAGGAGAGGAGGGAGGGGAAGCUCUGAUCAGAAUACAAAGAAGCAAAUUAAUUAAUGAAAAGAGAAGAAAUAUGGCAUAAUGAAAGAUUGUGUGGGUUAGGAUACCCACAGAAAGAUGAGCAGCUCUGCUUCUCAUACCGUCUUAGAUCAACUUUCUAUUUCCUGUCUGUCUGGUAUGAAAUGACAAAGCUAAUAAAAAUUAGAUAGUUAAUGAAAAACCAUUGACUUGUAAUACAUAUCUUGACACUGAAUUCAAGGUUGUAGCACUACCCUAGAUAUCCUGUUUGGUGCCCCUGCCCUCUCUCUUCCUUUGAGACAGUCUCACUCAUAGCCCAGACUAGCUCUGAGCAAUCCACUCCCCUCAGCUCCUGAGUGUUAGAAUUAUGGGUGUCAGCCAUCAUGCCUGGCUCUGGAGUCUUUAUUUCUUGAUCUCCUUCUCUUUUCAUGAAGUGAGGAGCCAAACUCACUCUGUAGGAUCUCUUUGAGUGACAAAAAUAUUACAUGACUUUAAGAAAUGUAUUUACUCAGUUUCUGUGCCAGAGGUCCAAGGGGUGGUAAUCAGACAUUAGAAGCAUGGAAGAGGUCUCCACGGGCUGCCUUUGCUUAGACUAUGGAGCAGAUUAUGAAUAUGCACUCCUACCUUCCUGAUGUAUUGGUUCUGAUAGGGAUUUUGAUUUUAUAUAUAGGAGCCAGCAUCCUUAGCUCUGUCCACUUAGGACUUGUACAUGCCUCCCUCUCACUUGCAUUUUAUUAGGAAGAAAUGAUGAGGGAAUUUCCAGAAUUGUCUUUCAGCUGAUGAGAGGGGUAGAAUUUGGAUGACACUGAGAUAAGCCUCCUGGAGUGCUGCAUUCAGGAGUGGUAGGCAAAGCAGCAUUGUUUCAUGCCUUGUGCCUGAUGGUGGUUUUCUCUCUCAACUUUUGCAGGAAUGAGGAUUACAGGAAAAUUGUUUCAUGGUAUUAACACGCAGCCGUAAGAGCAUAAUAUCUCACCACAUCUGUGAAUUUGGUUCAAACACCUUUCUCUUUCUUAAUCUGCCUUUCUUGGACUAAAAUGGUCCCCAUCUGUCAGUUCCGUGGUUACCCAUAUGUUGGAGUAUUUUUAUCUUUCUUCCCAUCCUUUCUCUCUCUCCACGUUUACCUGUAUGGUACACACACACAAAAAUUCACUGAUCUAAAUUGAAGCUCAAUUUGGAUGGAAUAUGCAGUAACUAAUUUGCCUGGCUCAGCUGGGUGUCCUGCCACUUAGAUUUGGGCAGUUAGAAGCUGGAACUAUGGCUCUGCAGUGAGGAAUACAACCCCUUCUAACUUCAGCUCCAGGGCACUUUACACCCUUUUCUGGUCCUCAUGCCAUGUGUAUAUCUGUGACAUACAACCACACAAACAGACACACAUAAACACAAAGAAAAUGAAAUAAAUCUUAAAA
rnacentral:lncRNA from 1 species